rnacentral:tRNA from 1 species
GCAGUGAUGGCCGAGAGGUUAAGGCGCUAGCCUGCUAAGUUAGUGGGUUUACCCGCGCGAGUUCGAAUCUCGCUCACUGCG